rnacentral:lncRNA from 1 species
AGAUGCACUGCGCCCCUUUCUCCUUUCCAAACGUGGAAUAAAAUGUAACCCCCGCAUACACACACACCGCCGCCGAAAUUUUAUAGAACUUUAUUCAUUUGGUAUUAAUUUGCACAGUAUUAUUAUUGUCACUGCAGGCAAAGCCUGUGACGCUGUCUUUGAAGAACAUCUCUCAACUGCAUCGCCGUUCCGCCUGGAUUCAUCGCUGACCCCCUCGACGCGCGGGAAAAACGGCUGCCUGCUGCUGCCUGCACGAAUGCAGCAGGGAGGAGGAAGAAGACGGCGCUGGGGAGGGACGGAAGGGCGAAAAUGGGACUGCUGUGUGUCUCCAACAUGUGCAUAGAUGUUGCUGUUUGGAAAAUGCAAAGCUUCACACUGAGCUUAUUUACUCCUCUGUUGGUGGAUUAUCACAGACNGAGAAGCCUUAGCUAACAUGCUAGUUCCAGUGGGCAGCCAUACUUCACCCCGCAUCCUGCAGUUCUUCCAAGCUUUCACUGUUUAAUAGAGAGCAACUGGGAGAGGAAAAAGAUUGCUUGUUAUAUAAAGUACACGCUGAUAAACUCUUCCUCUGAAAGUGUAUCAAAAGAGAGAAGAAAAUCUCUCAGUGGACUUAUUUUCUGGUAAAUGUGGAAAAAACUAGUUCAUGAAUUUUGCAGCUGCAUGUACUGAUU